GUAAAGAAUGCACAGCUGCAGAUCAUUGUCCAUGCCAAAACUUUGGCAUUUGUAAAAACUGCACGGAAAAAAAAUCAUCAUCUUUGGAGUGUUUGUGUCAACCAGGUAUGUAAAAUUUAUGUUGUUUUUCGAUGAAAUUCGUUAUCCUCUUGUGAAUUUACACAUAAUUCUGAAAUAGUACAUACAUUUUUUUAUAUUUUAGAAAAAGCAUUUAAAUGAAUGUAAAAUCUUAUAAAUAUGUCGGAAGCUCUUGUCUAGAUUAUUUACAAGGCACAAUAAAAUUCAAAAAUAUGUUCUGCACUUUCAAGUCAAAUUCAUUUAUCAUAAAAGUUUUAUUUAUAUUUCAAUUAUUAUCUUCAACUUUAGGAACUAAUGGCACGUACUGUACAAAGAUUUCUGUAAGUAUAAAAACUAUAUUACACGAUGUCCUAUUUGCCAAUUCAUGGAUUCGUCUUUAUUUGUAUGAUAAUUUAAUUAACACAAACUGUUAGAAUAUAACACGCGUACGGUCUUAAUAAAUUAAAGCUGAUAGUCUUAAUUCCAGGUUAAAAGAUAUUAUUCUGUCAAGUUUAAAUUUUAUGUUUUUAUUUUUUAACAAGUUUGGACCAUUUGAUCUUGUUUUCCAUAAGUCAUUAUUAUCUAAAUUUUCAUUUUUUUAACAACAAUUUCAACAAUGUCUUUCGCCAAAAUUAAAAUAUCAUAAAUCAAAAUAUUUGGCAUGGAAAGUUGAUUAAUAUUGUAUUUUUUUCAUCAAUACAAACAACUUAUUACUGUCCAAUUUUAUGAUGCUUUGUUCAUAGAGAUCGUAAAUUAAAAUACGACUGCAUCCUGCAUUAAUUUGUAAGAUCCUCUACGAUAGAUAAUUCAGCUGAUCUGUAAUAUUCCAUCUUCAUGCCUUCUAUAUCAUGUACUGUGUUACGACGGUAGAUAAAAACUGACGAGGAAAGGCAAUACCCGGCCACCAAAUGUUUUUUUUACUCGAACCCUAGUGGUCCAGUGGUCAAGCGCCGGGCAUAGUGCAAGACGAUUCGGUGCGACGAUAUCUCAGUAGCAUGAGUUCGAAUCCCGGCUAGGGAAGAACAAUAAUUUCCUUCCGCAAAAUUGUAUACGUAGUUUAUGAUUUAAUUUUAAAAACUUUGAUUUGCUUUAAAUUAUUUGUUUCAUUGUUUUUCCCAUUUGUUAGAAAAGACUGUGUACUAAAUCUGAGGAAUCAAAUGGAUUGGAAAACUGCAAUAACUCUAAUAACAUUGAAUGUGUUUUACGACUAGAUGAAACAUAUGUUUGUAAAUGGAAAGGUAUGUAUGGUAUAAAAACCCAAACAUAUUUAUAACCGGAAAUCCGAACGAUAAUAUACCUCUGUAUUAUCUUGGUUUGUGCUUAGUCUUUGUUGAGGGCUAAACUUUGACAUAUAAUUGAUUAUUUCAAUAUCAGUUAGUCUCAUGUUAAUAGUUGUAUCAUUGGUAAUUAUUAAAUAUCUUUUUUUUAUAAUAAUUUUUACUAAAUCAGUAAAGAAAGAGGUACUGUAUUAGUUCGUUAUUCAAUCUACUGGACAAACUAUAAAAUGUGAGUGCUAAAACUUAUUUAGUCAUAAUGUUAAAAGGCAAAUUCCAUACAUAGAAGCGGCUUUUAAUAUUGUUUUAUAACCAUACACACCGUAAGUACGCGAUGUUUGACUCCUUCUAAUCGUAGCAGAAGACUUAAAGUUUGUCCUAAGCUUUUUAUUUACUUUUCGUUUUCCAUUUAUAUCAAUCCAUUCUAUUCUUUCUUAGGUCAUAUUAUCAGUAUCAUAUGUCGUUCGUUUUUGUUGUUCUGUUGCGGUGUGCUUGUUUUUUUUUCAAAUGUGCAAGGUGCUGGUAGUUGGUCCGGUAUAUUAUGACUUUUAAUAUUUUGGUAGUUCCUGGUAUUCUUUUUACGUAUUAUAGUAUGGUAACUGUUUGAUUGACUACAAAAGAAGCGUACUUCCUUAACAGUUUAUGUUAAUGAUGAUGUUUCAUGUUUCACAAUGCUAACCCACGCAACUAAAAUGGGGAAUAGUAGUUAAAAGAAGAAGAAUUUCCGGUAGCAAAAUUAUGAAGACGUUUUAGAACUAGAAAUUAUGUUUUUAAACGACAUAAUAAACCACAAUUCUAUCAGUAACUUGAAUUAAAGAAUACCAUUUAGAUUUUUAAGUUAAUGCGAUGUUUCAAACACCCAUAUACAUUUAUCAUGUGAUAGAUUUAUUUAAUGAAUACCUUUGCGAACAAUGCCUGUCUCACGUAAAGUGAACAUCGCUUAUGACAAGUAACUAGAGUGUAUAUAUAUAUAAAAAAAAAAAGUGUGGUAUGAUUACCAAUGAGACAACUGAGUCUCUACAAGUUAUAGUUUUUGCUUCCAUUAGAAAAAAAUCCAUGUGUUGGGAUUUUUUGGUGCUACACAAGUUAAGCAAUGUAAAAGGUGUACUAUUGUAUAUCUUUUCCAGAAGCGAUGCGUGGUAAUUAUCUGAAUUGUGGACUGUCAGUUUCCAAUAAGAACAUGAUAAAAGG
rnacentral:lncRNA from 1 species